GAACGCUAGCGACAGGCCUAACACAUGCAAGUCAGGGGCAGCACAAGGAGCAAUCUGAGGUGGCGACCGGCGCACGGGUGAGUAACACGUAUGCAACCUGCCUGUAAGCGGGGAAUAACCCGUUGAAAGACGGACUAAUACCGCAUAAUACUAAAUUACUGCAUGGUAAUUUAUUUAAACAUUUAUGGCUUACAGAUGGGCAUGCGCAUGAUUAGCUAGUUGGAGAGGUAACGGCUCCCCAAGGCAACGAUCAUUAGGGGUUCUGAGAGGAAGGUCCCCACACUGGUACUGAGACACGGACCAGACUCCUACGGGAGGCAGCAGUGAGGAAUAUUGGUCAAUGGACGAGAGUCUGAACCAGCCAAGUCGCGUGCAGGAAGAAUGUCCUUAAUGAAUUAGUAAACUGUCUUUUGCGAGGGGAAAUAAAGUGCAUCACGUGUGAUGUUUUGUAUGUACUCUGCGAAUAAGGAUCGGCUAACUCCGUGCCAGCAGCAGC
rnacentral:rRNA from 1 species